UUUAACUGGAGAGUUUGAUCCUGGCUCAGAUUGAACGCUGGCGGCGUGCCUAACACAUGCAAGUCGAGCGAGAAAGCUUCCUUCGGGAAGUGAGUAGAGCGGCGCACGGGUGAGUAACGCGUGGGUAACCUACCCAAAUGACUGGGAUAACAGAUGGAAACGUCUGCUAAUACCGGAUACGCUUCAUAUUUAACUUUAUGGAGGAAAGGUGGCCUCUAUUUAUAAGCUACCACUUUUGGAUGGGCCCGCGUUUCAUUAGCU
rnacentral:rRNA from 1 species